AACAUAGAUCCCUGUCUUCAGCCAAUCCUGAUCAAGAACCUUACAAUACGAGACGGUCAAUCAUUCAUCAAUAUUGGAGACACUGAAAUUGAGUACAAUCCCAACUUUAGGCUCUACCUGGCCACCUGUCUGCCCAACCCCCACUUCCUCCCGGCAGUGUGUGUCCUGGUGAAGCUGAUCAACUUCUCGGUAGAGUACGAGUGUCUGCAGGAGCAGCUGCUGUCCAGCGCGGUGUCUCUGUAUCAGCCGGAGCUAGAGCUGCACCACAACCAGCUCCUGCACACUAUUACUGCUGACCUGUUCAGCCUUCACGAGCUGGAGAACAGGUCCCUGCUGCUGCUGCAGGACACCCAGGGACACAUAUUGGACGACCAGGACCUCGUUGAUAACCUGAAAAAGUCCAAGGUCACCUCCAAUGAGAUCUCCGUGCGAGUUGAAACGGCUAAGGACAAGGAGAAGG